rnacentral:rRNA from 1 species
UACGGAGGGUGCGAGCGUUGUCCGGAUUUAUUGGGUUUAAAGGGUGCGUAGGUGGCUUUUUAAGUCAGUGGUGAAAUACAGCCGCUCAACGGUUGAGGUGCCAUUGAUACUGAAGAGCUUGAAACAAGUGGAGGCUGCCGGAAUGGAUGGUGUAGCGGUGAAAUGCAUAGAUAUCAUCCAGAACACCGAUUGCGAAGGCAGGUGGCUACGUUUGAUUUGACACUGAGGCACGAAAGCAUGGGGAGCAAACGGG